AUUGAACGCUGGCGGCAUGCCUUACACAUGCAAGUCGAACGGCAGCACGGGGCAACCUGGUGGCGAGUGGCGAACGGGUGAGUAAUGCAUCGGAACGUACCUUUCAGUGGGGGAUAACGUAGCGAAAGUUACGCUAAUACCGCAUAUUCUGUGAGCAGGAAAGCAGGGGAGCGCAAGACCUUGCGCUGAUUGAGCGGCCGAUGUCAGAUUAGCUAGUUGGGGAGGUAAAGGCUCACCAAGGCGACGAGCUGUAGCGGGUCUGAGAGGAUGAUCCGCCACACUGGAACUGAGACACGGUCCAGACUCCUACGGGAGGCAGCAGUGGGGAAUUUUGGACAAUGGGGGCAACCCUGAUCCAGCCAUGCCGCGUGAGUGAAGAAGGCCUUCGGGUUGUAAAGCUCUUUCGGCCGGGAAGAAAUCGCACGGGCUAAUACCCUGUGUGGAUGACGGUACCGGAAUAAGAAGCACCGGCUAACUACGUGCCAGCAGCCGCCGUAAUAC
rnacentral:rRNA from 1 species